rnacentral:rRNA from 1 species
CCACGCAGUAAACGAUGAGUGCUAGUUGUCGGGGGUCAAACCUCGGUGACGCAGCUAACGCAUUAAGCACUCCGCCUGGGGAGUACGUACGCAAGUAUGAAACUCAAAGGAAUUGACGGGGACCCGCACAAGCAGCGGAGCAUGUGGUUUAAUUCGAAGCAACGCGAAGAACCUUACCAAGGCUUGACAUAUACAUGACAGCUCUAGAGAUAGAGUCUCUCUUCGGAGCAUGUAUACAGGUGGUGCAUGGUUGU